GGAGUUGAACCCUUACGAGCUUUCGCUCAUCGGUUUUUGAGACCGACGUGUAUGCCAUUCCACCACUUCGGCAAUAAUUGGUUGGUGUUGGGGUCGAGGGUUCAAGUCCCUCCAGCUCCA
rnacentral:tRNA from 1 species